CCUACGGGAGGCAGCAGUGGGGAAUAUCGGACAAUGGGGGCAACCCUGAUCCAGCCAUGCCGCGUGUGUGAAGAAGGCCCUCGGGUUGUAAAGCACUUUCAGUGAGGAAGAACGCCUGGUGGUUAAUACCCAUCAGGAAAGACAUCACUCACAGAAGAAGCACCGGCUAACUCCGUGCCAGCAGCCGCGGUAAUACGGAGGGUGCGAGCGUUAAUCGGAAUUACUGGGCGUAAAGCGCGCGUAGGUGGCUUGAUAAGCCGGUUGUGAAAGCCCCGGGCUCAACCUGGGAACGGCAUCCGGAACUGUCAAGCUAGAGUGCAGGAGAGGACGGUAGAAUUCCCGGUGUAGCGGUGAAAUGCGUAGAGAUCGGGAGGAAUACCAGUGGCGAAGGCGGCCUUCUGGACUGACACUGACACUGAGGUGCGAAAGCGUGGGUAGCAAACAGGAUUAGAUACCCUGGUAGUC
rnacentral:rRNA from 1 species